GCGAUCCCAGGAUGGGCGAGGCCACCCGCUGAGUUUAAG
rnacentral:rRNA from 1 species